AGCGAGCGCUGGCGGCGUGCCUAACACAUGCAAGUCGAACGGGGAUAGGGAGCUUGCUUCCUAUUCUAGUGGCGCACGGGUGAGUAACGCGUAGAUAAUCUGCCUGACGAUCCGGGAUAACAUCUCGAAAGGGGUGCUAAUACCGGAUAAGCCCACGGGGUCUUUGGAUCUUGCGGGAAAAGGGGGGGACCUUUUGGCCUUCUGUCGUCAGAUGAGUCUGCGUACCAUUAGCUAGUUGGUAGGGUAAAGGCCUACCAAGGCUACGAUGGUUAGCUGGUUUGAGAGAAUGAUCAGCCACACUGGAACUGAGACACGGUCCAGACUCCUACGGGAGGCAGCAGUGGGGAAUUUUGCGCAAUGGGCGAAAGCCUGACGCAGCAACGCCGCGUGAGUGAUGAAGGCUUUCGGGUCGUAAAGCUCUGUCGAGGGGAAAGAAGUGUAUUGUGGCUAAUAUCCGCGAUACUUGACGGUACCCCUAAAGGAAGCACCGGCUAACUCCGUGCCAGCAGCCGCAGUAACAC
rnacentral:rRNA from 1 species